rnacentral:misc_RNA from 1 species
AGAGAGAGAGAGAGAGAGGGUGGGGGGUUUAGUUUUCUUGCUAAAAUUGAAACAAUAGGAUUAAAUGAAAAAGCUCAUAAAGGUUUGGCUUUUUUAUAUGAUUUGUCAAAAUGAUGUGUCAAGUAGGCCCCAUGAUUUUAGAAUAAAAAAUGUCAAAUGGCAUGCCACGUUAUCAGAGCCACAAUUCCUCCAAAUUGGAUUUCAAAUUUUAAUAAAAUUUUUGAAAACAUUUCAAUUUUGGCUUUUUUAACCAAAAUUGAAACGACAUGAUCAAAAUGCAAAAGCGUGCAAAGUUUCGGUUUUUUU